CUAUCCUUAUUGCUUCUUAAUUUCUUAUAAUACUCCUGCUUAGCUUUAAAUGAAAUAAAUGUGAAAAUUAAAUAAAAUAAACUCUUUUUCUUUUUCUUCUCUAUUUUCUCUUCUCUUAUCUCUCUAAGAUCCUUCUAAGGGUUCAAUUUAUUGUAGUUCAGAGAUUGAUUGAUUCAAUUUUAUCACAUGAUUGAAUUUUGUCUAAUUAAGGGUUCAAUUGAUUCGAAAUAAAAAAUUAAAAGCUUGAUUGAUUAUAAUAAAGUAUUAUGGACUCAAAUAACUUUUUAAUUGUAAUUUAAGAGUAUUUUUGACUCUUUAACCUUUUAUUUCAAAUGUUAUAAUUUCAAAACUAGCAAUGGUAUGUAACGAUUUACUGAAACAGAAAUUUUAAAUCAAUGGACUGUGCAGAAAUUUAGGAAUAUUUCAAUAACCAUCUUCCUCAAGUUCAAUUUUACAAUUUGCAUAAAGUUUGAUAAUUCCAUUCUCAGUUCCUAUUUUCGUCUGUUAUUAGUAUGAUUUCAAGGUUUCAACAAUUUCCACAUCUGGCAGAAGAAAAAUAAAAUGGCCCCAUUUUAGCCUAUAUUUGCAACACAUUUGGUGCAUAUAUAUGGAAAUAUGAAUUUUGCAAUUAUUUAUUUUCAAAAUUGAAGCUGAUUUUCCACUAACAAAAUGAAAGAAUCUUUUCCAAGAAAUAAUUAAAAUCAAAUCAAAGAAUCCUGUUUUUUCAUUUUCAUUUAGAAUUCUACCUAGCAGAAAUUACAGAUAUUUUAAUCCAAUUUUUUUAAAACAAACAAAACAGUAACAACAAAAAUGUUUUUUUUUACUAUAUACUUUGUUUAAUUUCCAUGGCGAAUGGGCAUGAGGUCGAUCUAGUGGCCAGGUCCUUGAGGACUAGGUCCCGAAGACAACCGCUCGAGCCAGUAUGACAUCGUGAACUUUGCCUUCUGGUAGACCGCAGAGUAUGCAUCCAGGUGAUUCGCCUUUGCAAAAUCCUCAGGCAAAACUCUGGUAGCUUCAACACCGACAUGGCUCAGCACUGCCACUGAGAUCACAAAAAUGAUCAAAAGGGUACUCAGUUUUGUGCUAUUCAUCUUCCCAAAAGUUAAUCUAAACGUGGGCAAAAGGCUAAAAAUCUUAGUAAGAGGAGGAGCUUUGGUUUCUUGAUGUUGUGAAUGAAGAGAAAUUGGAAGUAAAUAUCUGGUAUAUAUAUAGAAAAACCAGGUUUGCAAAGCCCGG
rnacentral:lncRNA from 1 species